UGAUCAGCGCUGCCGCGUGAGGUGAGAAGCCUUCGGGUUGUAAAGCCUUUUAGCUUGGGAAGAAGUGUGUGUGGUGAUCAGCUUGUAGCAUUGACGGUACUAACAGAAUAAGCACCGGCUAACUCUGUGCCAGCAGCCGCGGUAAUACAGAGGGUGCGAGCGUUAAUCGGAAUUACUGGGCGUAAAGGGCGCGUAGGCGGUGAUAUGAGUGUGAUGUGAAAGCCCCGGGCUUAACCUGGGAAGUGCAUCGCAAACGAUAGGACUGGAGUAUAUGAGAGGGUGGCGGAAUUUCCGGUGUAGCGGUGAAAUGCGUAUAGAUCGGAAGGAACGUCAAUGGCGAAGGCAGCCACCUGGCAUCAUACUGACGCUGAGGCGCGAAAGCGUGGGGAGCGAACAGGAUUAAAUACCCUGGUAGUCCACGCUGUAAACGAUGAGGACUAGAUGUUGGUAGGGGAACCUAUCGGUAUCCAAACUAACGCGAUAAGUCUUCCGCCUGGGAAGUACGGCCGCCAGGUUGAAACUCAAGGAAUUUGACGG
rnacentral:rRNA from 1 species